CACUAUUCUCGCUCUCGCAUCUUGCAUCUCGCAUAGCAUCGCUACCCGCUGCCCGCUGCUUAUCGCUUUUUCGAACCUCGAUACCAUCGAUGGAGCUUUCUCGCGAGAGCAUUCGAAACCGCACUUUCAAUUAUAAAAAAUGGUGGAGUUGCAGGUUUCCCAUCAGAUCUUACCAAGAUAUUAUUUAAACUUAUUACGUGUAUUAAUCACUACACUCUCUCUCUGGAUUGUGUACGUAUGUGUAAAAGUACGCGCGUUAUGCGUAUAUAUGCAUAUCGCACGAUAUACGUAUGCCCUCUCAAAUUAUAAACGAAUGUUAUAGCACUUAUAGUUGACUAAUCAUGCUAUUUGUAAACUGUACAAGCAUGAAUAGCCCAAGACAAUCUUAUUUCACGCACAGAAUAUAUUCUCUAGUUUUAUGUUUUGUACAUAUUUGCUCAAAUAAAUAUACAUGAAUGCGAGCUUUCUCUCGAGUCCUCGACUUUAUAACUUUUUAAAAUAUAAUUGGAAAUCACGAAUCUCAUAUUACGUCUUAUUUACACGAUACAGGACAAUAUUACUUGCACCUUGUACACAACAAAAUAUCUCAAACAUUACCUUCAACUUUCUAAAAUCAGCUAGAGCUUCAAUGACAUCUUAGAGCUGCCGGAAAAUAAGAAAUGUUCCGUUCUGCCUAGCAUAACUUGCGUUCACAUAAUAUAUUGUUAGAUGCAGAACAUUAUCAUUAAGAACAUUAAAAAGUGUCUAUUUUAUGCAAUUAUUAUUUUUGACAUAAUUUCUUUAGCAAAGUAUGAAAUGUUAAAUAAACCCCAAUAACUUUUUGCCUGCAUAUAUUAUAUAUUAAUUUGGCUGCCAAUUGAUUGCCGAUACAGUUAUCGUUUACUGUAAAGAGUUUGAUUUCCAACCAUGCAAAGCAAUACCUCUAUUUCCUUUUA